GUAGGUGAACCUGCGGAAGGAUCAUUAACGAAAGCGUUUGUUUUUUCAAACAACGUUUUUAUUAUUCAAACCAAACUGUGUGACUGUUCUGUUCCUGUCGUUGGGUGAGUGAGGAGUGAGGACAAUGGUGUGAGUGAGUUUUCAUCGAAAGGUGAAAAGUGACUCUGCUUCUCUUCUCGUAAGGUUAAUUGUAAUUAAUUAUAAUUAACCUAAGCUCAUUGAAACCGACAGUAGAUGAAUUCCGCUGUCA
rnacentral:misc_RNA from 1 species